rnacentral:rRNA from 1 species
ACAAGGCCCGGGAACGUAUUCACCGUGGCAUUCUGAUCCACGAUUACUAGCGAUUCCGACUUCAUGGAGUCGAGUUGCAGACUCCAAUCCGGACUACGACAUACUUUAUGAGGUCCGCUUGCUCUCGCGAGGUCGCUUCUCUUUGUAUAUGCCAUUGUAGCACGUGUGUAGCCCUACUCGUAAGGGCCAUGAUGACUUGACGUCAUCCCCACCUUCCUCCAGUUUAUCACUGGCAGUCUCUUUGAGUUCCCGGCCGAACCGCUGGCAACAAAGGAUAAGGGUUGCGCUCGUUGCCGGGACCUUAACCCAACAUUUNACAACAACGAGCUGACGACAGCCAUGCANCACCUGUCUCAAGAG